rnacentral:rRNA from 1 species
AGUCGAGCGAGAAAAAACGGAAUGCGGUUUCGGCCAAAUGAAGCUUUGGAAAGCGGCGGACGGGUGAGUAACGCGUGGGCAACCUGCCCCAUACAGAGGGAUAGCCACUGGAAACGGUGAUUAAUACCUCAUACUUCGCACAGGACACAUGUUCAGAGCGACAAAGAUUAAUCGGUAUGGGAUGGGCCCGCGUCUGAUUAGCUAGUUGGUAAGGUAACGGCUUACCAAGGCGACGAUCAGUAGCCGACCUGAGAGGGUGAUCGGCCACACUGGAACUGAGACACGGUCCAGACUCCUACGGGAGGCAGCAGUGGGGAAUAUUGCACAAUGGGCGCAAGCCUGAUGCAGCAACGCCGUGUGAGUGAAGAAGGUUUCGGAUCGUAAAGCUCUGUCCUAAGGGAAGAAAAAAAUGACGUACCUA